GGGCCAGUAGCCUAGCCUGGAUAGGGCGACUGCCUUCUAAGCAGUAGGUCGGGGGUUCAAAUCCUCCCUGGCCCG
rnacentral:tRNA from 1 species